CCUACGGGUGGCAGCAGUGAGGAAUAUUGGUCAAUGGGCGAGAGCCUGAACCAGCCAAGUCGCGUGAGGGAGUACUGCCCUAUGGGUUGUAAACCUCUUUUGUCGGGGAGCAAAAGCCGGACGUGUCCGGCUGUGAGAGUACCCGACGAAAAAGCAUCGGCUAACUCCGUGCCAGCAGCCGCGGUAAUACGGAGGAUGCGAGCGUUAUCCCGAUUUAUUGGGUUUAAAGGGUGCGCAGGCGGAUUUUUAAGUCAGCGGUAAAAUCGUGGGGCUCAACCCCAUCCAGCCGUUGAAACUGGGGAUCUAGAGUGUGCGAGAGGUAUGCGGAAUGCGUGGUGUAGCGGUGAAAUGCAUAGAUAUCACGCAGAACCCCGAUUGCGAAGGCAGCAUACCGGUGCACAACUGACGCUCAGGCACGAAAGCGUGGGUAUCGAACAGGAUUAGAUACCCGAGUAGUC
rnacentral:rRNA from 1 species